GUGUGGAUAGGUCAAUAGGUGAGAUUAGUUCACAUGUUUUGUUAAACGUUUAUCAACAGAUCAAACGUGAAAUAUAUUUUUAUUUUAUUUUUUUUAAUACUCGCGGUCAACAGUCAUUAUCAACGCACAAUGGCGAUUACACUGGCAAAAAAUGAUCGCAACGAUUUGAAUAUAUUACCGCAACGUACAUGUAAUUUUUAGAGUUGUUUGUUUAGACGCGAACAUGUUUACAGUGCGAUAGGCAUAACGUAACGGCAGCAGGUACUAUAAAAUUGGGCUCGGAACGUAUGGUGAAUAUUAAUCAAAAAAAUAUUUCAUCUGAGCGCGUCUCGAGUAUUUUAUGACCAAUAUGAUAAAGGUGGUGGUGGUCUGCCGAGUUUCGAGAAAGAAAAAAUCGAGAUCGAAACCAAAAAUAAAUCAAAUGCAGCCAGAAAGAGCUGGGGGACAGGUAUUUACUACAGCCGCGGCGUUUGUGUUCGUCACACACGAAUCGCUCGGUCGCAUUUAAGGUGGAGCAAAGCGAGUGGCUUUUAGUACGACUGACCCAAUCGUCGACAUAGAUUAUUUUUUUACUCACGUCCGGAUCUACGACGAGUCUGGCAUCGAGCGGACGAGAGAGAUCGUGUCUGCGAAAACGACGACGGGCGGACGGCGCGUGCUGUGUCGCAGUUGUCGCGCGGCGCACUGCCUGCCAAGUGCAGUGCCGGAUGGUGCCUACGGGCUACGAGUUACGACGAACGUAAACGGUAAACACGGGUCGUCGCAGGCGGGACGGAGCGAGAGCAGUGGCGGUGGUUUCCGACGCGAACGUUACACUGUUUCAAGAUGGACCUUGAACUUCUUAGAUAUACCUGUUGGUACCGGCGUACCGCUGCUCUGCCAAAAAUUCAGAUAGUCCACGGUCCACAUGAAAUAUACAAAUUGUUUGGCUACAAAUACAUGACUUGUUUGGAAAUGGCAAGCUACCUAUUUACGCAACACAUUGCCAUUUUGCGUGUCAUAUUAAAAUAUAGUAUGUAUACGAAUUUACAAAGUAUGCAUCAAUUUAUUGUAUAAUAAACACAGACAUAUAUCAUUCGAGCAUCAAAAAUAGUAAGUCUGAGUACAAGAUCAAAAUAUCCAAUUUUUAUUUUUUUAUAUUGCCUCAAUUUGAGACCAAAUUAAUUACCGAACAUUAUAAGAACGAAUUAAUAAAUGUACAUUUAUAAGUGUUAAUAUUUAAUAAUAAUAAUUUAAUUAUCAUUAGACAUUAAAGACUACAAUAUUAUAUGAUAACUGGUAUGUGUAAAUAAUACUGGAAAUGGAAAUUUUAUAAUAUUAUGUGUACACCAUUAUAGUACCUAUACACCUUACACUUGAAUAACAAUUAUUUUAAUUUUCGUGAUAUGAAUACCGUUGGUCCACUUUACUAAUAAACUCAAUUUACUUGUAAGUAUUGUUUCGGCUAAUCGUUAGUUAGUAAUUUGAAGUUUAAAAAAAAAUAAGCAGAAUAAUAUUAAUUUUAUUGAAACAUAUAAAAACAUUUAACAAUUUGAUACUAGAACUAAUUACUAAUGAGGCAAUUAGUUGUCGUAUAUUGUAAGUUGUAUCGCGCAAUUGAUCAAUUUUGUCACCGACGCGGCGCCAUGGUACUGAUGAUGAGUGAUGAGUGUGCCUUUUAUUACCCUAUCCAGGACAAUAUCGAAUACUUUCAACUAAUAACUACAUUAAAUCGUAACUUUAAUAUUGAACAGUGAACACUGAACAGGUUACAUGUAUAUUAUAUAAUAAUAUGACGUAUUUUAAUUUAAAAAUAUCAGUAUCAUUUACAUAGGUACAAGAUACAUAUGGCCAUGUGUUUAUGUAUCAGUUUACACAAUAUUAUCAUGAAAAAUAAAAUACAAAUAAACAAUUUAGUAAAUAAAUAGUGCAUUAGAAGCUUAUCUUAAGCUUGAUCAAUGAGGGGAAGUCGAUUCAAGUGUUACAAAACAUUAAUCAACUAGUUUUGAAUAUUUUUUAACAGUACAUAGGUAAUAGCACUAAUAGUACUAAUUUUUAUUUAUUUAAUGUUAAUUUGUCAAUAUUAUCUAUUAUUAUAUAUGUACAAUAUUUAUAAUAUACAAAAAGUCAAGACUUCGCACAGGAGGGGGUGGGUGAUCUUCGUCGGCAAAAUUAAUAUUGAGUAAUAAAAAUUUAGCUUUUUAAGAUAUAUUGGUACAAGGUACAUUCUUCACAUUCUUGUUUAUCUAUCCUGAUACACAUUGUUUUUGUCUAUUGACCAAUGGCAUGAAUUUUAUGUUUGGAAUUACGGAUAGAACCAUCAAAAAAAUUAAAUGACCUUCUAAAGUGUAUAACGUUUUAUGCAAUUUAUUACAUACCUACGUCAAAAACAGGUUUUAAUCCGAUCAAUAAAUUAUUAUAAGUUAAAAAUGCAUUAAUAUUUAAAAACUUGUACUUUUUGGAACUUUUAGUAAAUAAAAAUUUAUAGGUAGGUAGGUAUUACAUUGUUAUUUACUUAAAAGAUAAGAAAACUAAUAGUAGGUACGAGGUACCUUAACUUUAAUCUCAAAUGCGUUUACAGCUAUAGUGUUACUCAUGCACGAUAAUAAAAAAUUUGCGUAAGGUAAGAUAAUUUUAAAUUUAAUAUUUAUUAAUAAUAAGAUGUUUGCCCAAAAUAGUUACGGCCUAUAUCUGUAGCGUAGAACAAAAUAUUAUAGUGAGAUAAGACUGUAAAUAAUAUUCUAUGUCCGUACGAUUAACCAGUAACCACAACACAUAAACAUUAGCACAUUGCAGGGCCUAAAAUUGUGUGCAGUAGCAAAUUUAAAAGUGUGCAUUACUUUUUGUACUUUAACCGAAGUUAUUUUGUUUUUAAUUUUAAAAUAUUUAGUUAUGUAGGUAUCAACUAUCAAGGACUUUUAUAGAAGCGAGUGUCUUAGAUUGUAUUUAUUAUAACUAAUUAUUAAUAAAUACCAAAAACAAUUAUUCUACGAAGUUAUACGUAGCAUGUAUCCUACUAAGUCUAUGUUUAUUAUUUAAAAAUAUUUUGGAGUAUGGAUUUAUAGGUGUACAGUAGCAAAAUACCCUAAUUUUAGGCCCUGGCACAUUGCGUAAAAUAUAAUAUGAUGUAAAUAAAUAAUUGACACUAGUGAGCACGGUUUAAGAUAGUCUAUCUUAAACCGUGCUAAUGAGACAAUGGCUACCUAGUGCACUAGUGCACUAUAUAGGUACCUAAUCGAGAUGUAAUAGACUGGAUAGGAUACUAAAAUGUUGUAACUAUAAUUGAGACUUUUUUUAUGUAAAAAAAUUGUUCAGUGUGAUACCGCAUAAACAAUUCAAGCAUAAACUUCUAAAAAUGUUUUGUUUUUAUCAUUAUUCAUUAGGUACAUUUAAUAAUUUAUG